rnacentral:rRNA from 1 species
CAGCCGCCGCGGUAAUACGAGGGGGGCAAGCGUUGUUCGGAAUUAUUGGGCGUAAAGGGUGCGUAGGCGGUUUGGCAAGUUUGGUGUGAAAUCUUCGGGCUCAACUCGAAGUCUGCAUCGAAAACUGCCGGGCUUGAGUAUGGGAGAGGUGAGUGGAAUUUCCGGUGUAGCGGUGAAAUGCGUAGAUAUCGGAAGGAACACCUGUGGCGAAAGCGGCUCACUGGACCAUAACUGACGCUGAGGCACGAAAGCUAGGGGAGCAAACAGGAUUAGAUACCCCUGUAGUCCCUGUCUCUUAUAC